rnacentral:rRNA from 1 species
GCGGUGGAGCAUGUGGUUUAAUUCGACGCAACGCGAAGAACCUUACCUGGGCUUGACAUGCUUGGGACAGCGCUGGAAACAGCGUCUCUCCUUCGGGAGCCCUUGCACAGGUGCUGCAUGGCUGUCGUCAGCUCGUGUCGUGAGAUGUUGGGUUAAGUCCCGCAACGAGCGCAACCCUCGUUACUAGUUGCCAUCAGUUCGGCUGGGCACUCUAGUGAGACUGCCGGUGAUAAACCGGAGGAAGGUGAGGAUGAUGUCAAGUCAUCAUGGCCCUUACGCCCAGGGCUACACACGUGCUACAAUGGUCGGCACAAAGGGUCGCUAAGCCGCGAGGUGGAGCUAAUCCCAAAAAGCCGGCCUCAGUUCGGAUUGGAGUCUGCAACCCGACUCCAUGAAGGCGGAAUCGCUAGUAAUCGCGGAUCAGCAUGCCGCGGUGAAUAUGUUCCCGGGGCUUGUACACACCGCCCGUCAUAUCACCCGAGUCGGGGAUACCCGAAGUCCGUGACCCAACCAUUUGG